rnacentral:lncRNA from 1 species
UAAGGUGAUUGGUGUGGAAGCUAUAGUAAUUGAUGGAUCCAUUUUUAUCUCUCACUAGGGAUCAAUCCUCAAGUUACUGAAAUGAUGCAAAGAAGGGCCAUUGACAUCUAACUAGUUGACUAUUUCUAUGGUGCAAAAGAAGGGCCAUUGACACAACUUGAGAACAUAAUAUGAACAAUAGAUAAUAUGUUAGGUAUGACACUAUGUGAUAUGUGAUUGCAACUUCAUGUUACAUCUUUCUUUCUUAGUAUGCAUACUUGUUAAUUUGUUGGAGAUUUCUUUUGAACUUGUUGAGAUAGGCCACUUAGUAUAUAGUCAAUUGAUGUUUUUUAGUUUUUUGUUUACAGGAAAAUUUUCUUAAGCUAUGUUCACAACUUAAAUCUCUACCUCAACAUUAUGAGUUUGGUGAUGAAUGAGUACUUUCUCAAGCCUAUUGAUUAUGAUGCAUUGCAUAAGGAUUGGAAACAUGUGUCCAUGCCUCCAAGAUAAUAGUGAUGACUUUGUACUUACAAUCUUCAAAAUUAAUAUAAGUUUUAGUCUUUUGAAUGUAUUUUUAGAAUUUGGAUUAUGUAUAUUAUGUUUAUAAUUGUA